rnacentral:tRNA from 2 species
GGCGGGUUGCCCGAGCGGCCAAAGGGAGCGGACUGUAAAUCCGUCGGCUACGCCUACGAAGGUUCGAAUCCUUCACCCGCCA